AACGAACGCUGGCGGCAUGCCUAACACAUGCAAGUCGAACGAGAUCUUCGGGUCUAGUGGCGCACGGGUGCGUAACGCGUGGGAAUCUGCCCUUUGGUUCGGAAUAACAGUUGGAAACGACUGCUAAUACCGGAUGAUGACGAAAGUCCAAAGAUUUAUCGCCAGAGGAUGAGCCCACGUAGGAUGAGAUAGUUGGUGUGGUAAAGGCGCACCAAGGCGACGAUCCUUAGCUGGUCUGAGAGGGUGAUCAGCCACACUGGGACGGAGACACGGCCCAGACUCCUACGGGAGGCAGCAGUGGGGAAUAUUGGACUAUGGGCGAAAGCCUGAUCCAGCAAUGCCGCGUGAGUGAUGAAGGCCUUAGGGUUGUAAAGCUCUUUUACCCGUGAUGAUAAUGACAGUACCGGGAGAAUAAGCUGCGACUAACUCCGUGCCAGCCGCCGCCGUAA
rnacentral:rRNA from 1 species